CGGAGGCUCGGCGUAGGGGCUUGGCCUAUGGGUCCUUGUCAAAAGUACUGCACUACAUAGGGAAAAGGAUGCCAUUUGGGAUGCAGACUCAGGGCCUGAAAUCCACAGCUAAGCAGGAUGGUAUGGCUAGAACAACUCUAGUGGGCUUGUCAAAUGCCAUCUCUACCAUCAAAGACCUUUGUUAGACACAGGUGACCUUCAGACGAGUCCUGUGAAGAUUGUGGGCAUCGUAGAGCAAAACAGACAUGUCUGUGUUCGUGAGAGUCUCCAAUUUCUAUUAAUAGAACAGUGAUUGCAAUGCCGAUUUCCACGUGGGCGAGUGCUCAGGGCUUCGACAAUCAAGAUAUCCAGAGCAGUAAAUGUGCCCCCAUAAGAGCCAGAGACUAUGUACAAUAGAGUGCAUGGCCAAGAAAUAACAAUGGCUGUAAAAUCACACUGAGGAACCUCAUAGAAGUAUCAAAAUUAAUAUCAAACAAUUGUAGUCUACAAAAUAGCACUGAAACAAACAAUAUAGAUUCUACAACAAAUUGUCAUAUAGCCACUAUAUGACGAUUGUGUUCUAGAAUCUAUAUUGUUUGUGUCAGUGUUCCUUCAGUUCCGCCUGCCCUUGAUAUCUGUCACCCGAGGUGCAGAUAAACAAUGGGCCUAUUUGAAAACAAAGAUCUGAUUAUGGGGGAACAUUUAAUCCCAGCUUGACGUGUCAGCAGGCUGCAUGGGCAACAACUUUCAGGAGAGCCCUUUGAAGUGGUCUUUUCAGAGUCUUGGCUCAUUACACAAUAAAGAGCACUUCGCAUGUAACUGAAGUGGCUUGGGAAAUGACGGCUAAUGAUGUUGACAGCAGCAGAGAAUUACAAAGGAAUUUGACUAGUCUUGCACAAGCUCUUUACGUCUUUUUGUAAUAGAGUAGAGGAAGGGAGAUGCAUUUUUUAGUUUUCGCAUCGGGUCUGGCUGAGUUGUUGUACAACAAAUCAUCAAGAAGGAUUUUCUAUCGACACAAUUUAAUGAAUGGGGAAAAAACUCACCAAUGUUACAUAGAAAGGACUAGGCUACAUCAUGCAUGAUAUUUACUUGUUAUUUUUCCCAGUAGAAAUUGUCUAAUUACAGUCUAGUGACUCUCAGCAUUACACACAUUUUGAGACCAGGUUAUUAACACCCUAACACUGAAAAGUGUCAUCGAAUUUACAACAGGAAAAGGUGUUAGGGUCUGUAGCAAUACUUGUCAAAAAGAGCAGCUUAAUACCAAUGAAAAUAUACCAGUUCCUUGACCCGAAUACCCCCAAUGUUAAACUGUCGCCUGUCUUUGAAAAGUCACCAAAGUUGUCAACACCCUAUCCUCUUUUAACUGAGAAGGCAGUGCAAUAUAGCAACAUUGAUAAGUAGACUUGUUUAAUUAACACUUUGUUUGUUAAUUUGAAGAUGUAUAAGAUACAUGUAUUUUCUUAAUUUAAGCAUAGUUAUUUUUCUUAAUUUAAGCAUUGUUUAGUUCAUGUUCAACUAAUAAUUUACAAAUGAUGCCAACCAAUUUAUUUCAAGACUGAAAUCCUAGUUUGGGUUCUAUCAUUAUAGUGGAAUCCAAUCUUAAUAUUUUAGGAGUUCUUAUUUUGUAUAGAAAUAUGCAUCUUAAUUUAGCCGUAGCCCUUUCCUGCAGUCAAAUGACCUAAUGGCCUCAUGGGUGGAAUGUUAU